rnacentral:misc_RNA from 1 species
UCCGGGUUGCACCCGGCGGUCUCGCCAGACAGGUAACUGGCGACGAGGGUUGCGCUCGUUGCGGGACUUAACCCAACACCUCACGGCACGAGCUGACGACAGCCAUGCAGCAUCUGUGCAAGUGCCUGACUCAACAGGUCGUCCCGGUUUCCCGGUCCUACUGCUUGCAUGUCAAGCCCAGGUAAGGUUCUGCGCGUUGCAUCGAAUUAAACCACACGCUCCGCUGCUUGUGCGGGCCCCCGUCAAUUCCUUUGAGUUUCAGCCUUGCGGCCGUACUCCCCAGGCGGGGCACUUAAUGCGUUAGCGCCGGCACCCAGGGGGUCGCUCCCCCAGGCACCUAGUGCCCAUCGUUUACGGCGUGGACUAC